rnacentral:lncRNA from 1 species
GAGCCACAAGAGCAAUAUUCUGCACCGACUGAAACAAAUCUAACAACAACAGCAACAUCCUCCAGAAUGAAAGCCAGCAACAGAGAGAAUCUUAGGGACCUUAAACCAUAUUGAGCAGAAGACCAUCAACUGACUGAAACCCAGAUGCUGCAGGCAAGUUAGCUGUGCUGAAAUCUUCUCUCGAGUCUCCUUUGCAUAUGGAACCCUACGCAACUGAUCAAUAUUCCUUCCCAGAGAAGGACUGUUAUACGGCUAAGUCAAUUAAUGGUUGAG